rnacentral:rRNA from 1 species
GAUGAACGCUGGCGGCGUGCUUAACACAUGCAAGUCGAACGAUGAAGCCCAGCUUGCUGGGUGGAUUAGUGGCGAACGGGUGAGUAACACGUGAGUAACCUGCCCUUAACUCUGGGAUAAGCCUGGGAAACUGGGUCUAAUACCGGAUAGGAGCGUCCACCGCAUGGUGGGUGUUGGAAAGAUUUAUCGGUUUUGGAUGGACUCGCGGCCUAUCAGCUUGUUGGUGAGGUAAUGGCUCACCAAGGCGACGACGGGUAGCCGGGCUGAGGGGGGGACCGGCCACAAUGGGACUGAGAGACGGCCCAGACUCCUACGGGAGGCAGCAGUGGGGAAUAUUGCACAAUGGGCGAAAGCCUGAUGCAGCGACGCCGCGUGAGGGAUGACGGCCUUCGGGUUGUAAACCUCUUUCAGUAGGGAAGAAGCGAAAGUGACGGUACCUGCAGAAGAAGCACCGGCUAACUACGUGCCAGCCGCCGCCGUAAGAC